ensembl:snRNA U6 U6 spliceosomal RNA
CUCAGAAGUGCUUACCUCUCCUACAAUUUGAACAAUUCAGAGAAUAUUAGUAUUGCCUCUGUACAAAGAUGACCCACAAAUUUGUGAGGCAUUCCAUAUUUUG